rnacentral:rRNA from 1 species
GACGAACACUGGCGGCGUGCCUAAUACAUGCAAGUUGAGCGCUGAAGGUUGGUACUUGUACCAACUGGAUGAGCAGCGAACGGGUGAGUAACGCGUGGGGAAUCUGCCUUUGAGCGGGGGACAACAUUUGGAAACGAAUGCUAAUACCGCAUAAAAACUUUAAACACAAGUUUUAAGUUUGAAAGAUGCAAUUGCAUCACUCAAAGAUGAUCCCGCGUUGUAUUAGCUAGUUGGUGAGGUAAAGGCUCACCAAGGCGAUGAUACAUAGCCGACCUGAGAGGGUGAUCGGCCACAUUGGGACUGAGACACGGCCCAAACUCCUACGGGAGGCAGCAGUAGGGAAUCUUCGGCAAUGGACGAAAGUCUGACCGAGCAACGCCGCGUGAGUGAAGAAGGUUUUCGGAUCGUAAAACUCUGUUGGUAGAGAAGAACGUUGGUGAGAGUGGAGAGCUCAUCAAGUGACGGUAACUACCCAGAAAGGGACGGCUAACUACGUG